rnacentral:rRNA from 1 species
UACGAAGGGUGCAAGCGUUAAUCGGAAUUACUGGGCGUAAAGCGUGCGUAGGCGGUUUGUUAAGUCUGUUGUGAAAUCCCCGGGCUCAACCUGGGAAUGGCAAUGGAUACUGGCAAGCUAGAGUGUGUCAGAGGAUGGUGGAAUUCCCGGUGUAGCGGUGAAAUGCGUAGAUAUCUGGAGGAACACCGGUGGCGAAGGCGGCAUCCUGGACCGGCACUGACGCUGAGGAGCGAAAGCGUGGGGAGCGAACAGG